GAUGAACGCUAGCGAUAGGCCUAACACAUGCAAGUCGAGGGCAUCACAUGAAGUAGCAAUACGGAUGGUGGCGACCGGCGCACGGGUGAGUAACACGUAUGCAACCUGCCUUCAACAAGGGGAUAACCCGUUGAAAGACGGACUAAUACCCUAUAACACAGGGGUCCCGCAUGGGAAUAUUUGUUAAAGGACAACCGGUUGAAGAUGGGCAUGCGUUCCAUUAGCUAGUUGGCGGGGUAACGGCCCACCAAGGCAACGAUGGAUAGGGGAACUGAGAGGUUUAUCCCCCACACUGGUACUGAGACACGGACCAGACUCCUACGGGAGGCAGCAGUGAGGAAUAUUGGUCAAUGGACGCAAGUCUGAACCAGCCACGUCGCGUGAAGGAAGACGGCCCUACGGGUUGUAAAACUUCUUUUAACGGGAAUAAAGUGCCCCACGCGUGGGGUUUUGCAUGUACCGUAUGAAUAAGGAUCGGCUAACUCCGUG
rnacentral:rRNA from 1 species